rnacentral:rRNA from 1 species
CAGUCGCCGCGGGAAUACGGAGGGUGCAAGCGUUAAUCGGAAUUACUGGGCGUAAAGCGCACGCAGGCGGUUUGUUAAGUCAGAUGUGAAAUCCCCGGGCUCAACCUGGGAACUGCAUUUGAAACUGGCAAGCUAGAGUCUCGUAGAGGGGGGUAGAAUUCCAGGUGUAGCGGUGAAAUGCGUAGAGAUCUGGAGGAAUACCGGUGGCGAAGGCGGCCCCCUGGACGAAGACUGACGCUCAGGUGCGAAAGCGUGGGGAGCAAACAGGAUUAGAUACCCGCGUAGUCCCUGUCUCUUAUAC